AUCUGAUUCACCACACCAAAGCCAAUAAGAAAAAUGUUAGACAAAAGAAAUACACAAGGGCAGAGAGGAUGGGGUUGGGGUGUAACCGUGUAGGUGGUGGAAGUAAUCGAAAGGAUAUGGAUCAUCAGUUACUUUCUACUAUAUACCUUAUGGCAAACUUUUGGAUGCCUCGCUGGGUCUAAAUGAUGGUCAUCGUCAUCGUUCAGCACUUGAAGCCUUGAAAGGAUCAAAAGUUUGUAUGAAAAAAGGAAGAUAAACAGGCACAUAAAGCAUAUUUAAACAGAUAAAUAAAACUAUAUAGAUACGUUGGAGCAAUCAGUGGACUUUUUUUUAUGAUGAAAUUCGGUGCAUAAAAAGUUAAAGUAGGGCACUACUAUAAUGCUGGACAUUGAUUGAAUAUGUUUGGGACCCUCUCAGUGUCUUUGUAUUUGGCCCUUUUAUUUUACACAUAUGAGAAGUGCUCUGUUCUGCCAAGGCUGGCAUAUAUGGAACUCAAGAUUUAUGGGUCAACAAAGCUCUUAUUGAUUGUACUUGCUACUUGGCUUGUAAUAUUGGUCAUUGUUAAACAAUAAAAUAAUAAUCAUACUAAUACUUGUCACAAAUAAA